GAUGAACGCUGGCGGCGUGCCUAAUACAUGCAAGUCGAGCGAACAGACGAGCAGCUUGCUCCUCUGACGUUAGCGGCGGACGGGUGAGUCACCCGUGCAUAACCUACCUAUAAGACUGGGCUAACUUCGGGAAACCGGAGCUAAUACCGGAUAAUAUAUUGAACCGCAUGGUUCAAUAGUGAAAGACGGUUUUGCUGUCCCUUAUACAUGGAUCCGCGCCGCAUUAGCUAGUUGGUAAGGUAACGGCUUACCAAGGCAACGAUGCGUAGCCGACCUGAGAGGGUGAUCGGCCACACUGGAACUGAGACACGGUCCAGACUCCUACGGGAGGCAGCAGUAGGGAAUCUUCCGCAAUGGGCGAAAGCCUGACGGAGCAACGCCGCGUGAGUGAUGAAGGUCUUCGGAUCGUAAAACUCUGUUAUUAGGGAAGAAAAAAUGUGUAAGUAACUAUGCACGUCUUGACGGUACCUAAUCAGAAAGCAACGGCUAACUACGUG
rnacentral:rRNA from 1 species